UACCUAUUUGUUGCCUCGGCGGUGCCUGUUCCGACAGCCCGCCAGAGGACCCCAAACCCUGAUUACAUUUAAGAAGUCUUCUGAGUAAACCGAUUAAAUAAAUCAAAACUUUCAACAACGGAUCUCUUGGUUCUGGCAUCGAUGAAGAACGCAGCGAAAUGCGAUAAGUAAUGUGAAUUGCAGAAUUCAGUGAAUCAUCGAAUCUUUGAACGCACAUUGCGCCCGCUAGUAUUCUGGCGGGCAUGCCUGUCCGAGCGUCAUUUCAACCCUCAAGCCCCCGGGCUUGGUGUUGGGGAUCGGCGAGCCUCCGCGCCCGCCGUCCCCUAAAUCUAGUGGCGGUCUCGCUGUAGCUUCCUCUGCGUAGUAGCACACCUCGCACUGGGAAACAGCGCGGCCACGCCGUUAAACCCCCAACUUCUGAACGUUUGACCUCGGAUCAGGUAGGAAUACCCGCUGAACUUAAGCAUAUCAAUAAGCGGAGG
rnacentral:rRNA from 1 species